UACGGGGGGAGCAAGCGUUGUUCGGAUUUACUGGGCGUAAAGGGCGCGUAGGCGGCGUGACAAGUCACUUGUGAAAUCUCCGGGCUUAACUCGGAACGGUCAAGUGAUACUGUCGUGCUAGAGUACAGAAGGGGCAACUGGAAUUCUCGGUGUGGCGGUGAAAUGCGUAGAUAUCGAGAGGAACACCUGCGGCGAAGGCGGGUUGCUGGGCUGAUACUGACGCUGAGGCGCGAAAGCCAGGGGAGCGAACGGG
rnacentral:rRNA from 1 species